UAAAAAAAAAAAAAAAAAAACCUUUCACCUUACAUAGUUGCUCAGAUUCAAAUCUCAGAAUGCUGUUCCAAGCCAUUUUAAAAACGAAAAUCCUUCAAAAUUAUCAGGUUGGAUAAGGGUGUUGGUAUUUGGUGAACUUCGGAAUUUUUUUUAUGCUUUUGCUAAUUAGUUUCACCACUCCAAUAAAAGAAUGAUAAGGUCCAAGAUAAAACUACCAUCCCUUGAUACCACCAGAAAAUUCAACUUAUCAAACCCUAUUGUAACACCAAAUAUCUUCCAAGCCAAUCCAUGCUUAGGAGGAAAAUUGAGAGAGAGAAGAAAGUGAUAUACGUGUCUCAAUAUAUGGAUUUUUUUUUCUCCUCUCACGAU
rnacentral:misc_RNA from 1 species